CUCUUUGCUCAAGGUCUGAAUGGGACUUGCGGGGGCUGACGGCUGAGUCCUCCCUUUCGUCCUUCCCACAGGGAGGGGGAAGCUUGGACCAGCUCCCCCAGCCCGGUGUUACCGACUUUUCCCCCAUCAGGUGGAUCAAGCGCGGCCCCUCGCAAGCCUUAAAAGGAGCAGCGGGCGGUGGCUCUCCGCCGCGACCCUGGAGGGAGGCCUUGCGGGUCGACGCGGCGGCUUGCAGCGGGCGCGGCUCCGAGCAUGCGCGGCGGCUGUGUGCCCGCCCGCUCGGCACCGCCCUCGGGCUCGGUCCUCCUCCCGCCGCGGCCUGUAGGCUCCCGGAGCAUCCGGGGCUGAUCGCGGAGGAAGAAGCCCUUCAUUGAUGUGUCUUCUUGAGCUGUGGUCUUCUCUACAGGAGUGAAAUUUAGCAGAGGUAUCUAAUGAAGAGGAAUCUGAACAUACCAGCUGAGAAAGGAAAAGGAUUGGGAGAAGACCCCAGAUGUCAUAAGGCAAAGAGAGAAUGAGGCCUUCUCCAUGUGGAGUCAGAGGAGACCCUCCUACACCAGAGGAAAGAUCUCAGGCUUUUUAAGUUAUUUUCCAUCUUGCCACCUACAAAUCUGAAAUCUAAAGUAAUUGGAUCUCCUUUUAAUCAACAACAAAGGAUGCCUGUACUACAGCUGUUUUUCAUGCAUAUCAUUUUUGAAAAAUUUUUAUUGUUGUGGUGGUGAUGGUAUUUUUUUAAGAGGGAAAAUUAUAAAAAUGACACCGAUUAAGGGUAGAAAAUUUCAAAAUAGGCAGCACUAAAAAGAAGUACAUUGAAUUUCAACAUUUACUAUCUACAGCCCAAAAUUAAAUACUUUUUUGUUGUUGUUGUUGUAUCUGUGGCAUGCAGAAGUUCCCAAGCCAGGGAUGGAACCCACGCCACAGCUUUAAUCAGAGCCACAGCAGUAAUAACACCAUAUCCUUAACCCAUUGAGCCACAAGGGAACUCCCAAAGUUAAGUACUUUUAAUGCUGUUUUGUAUGUUCUUCCAACCUCUUUUCAUCUGUGUACCUUUUUUCCCCCAUAAUUGAAGUGAUAAUGUAUGUACUCAUUUGUAUUAUUUAUAAUGGCUAGGUAAUAGUCUAUUACAUAAAAAUACUACACAUUAAUUAUAACUUUUGGUCAUUCA